rnacentral:rRNA from 1 species
GAUGAACGCUGACAGAAUGCUUAACACAUGCAAGUCAACUUGAACUUCGGUUUGGGUGGCGGACGGGUGAGUAACGCGUACAGAACUUGCCUCACAGAUAGGGACAACAUUUGGAAACGAAUGCUAAUACCUGAUAUUAUGAUUUUAGGGCAUCCUAGGAUUAUGAAAGCUAUAUGCGCUGUGAGAGAGCUUUGCGUCCCAUUAGCUAGUUGGAGAGGUAACGGCUCACCAAGGCGAUGAUGGGUAGCCGGCCUGAGAGGGUGAUCGGCCACAAGGGGACUGAGACACGGCCCGUACUCCUACGGGAGGCAGCAGUGGGGAAUAUUGGACAAUGGACCAAGAGUCUGAUCCAGCAAUUCUGUGUGCAAGAUGAAGUUUUUCGGAAUGUAAAGUGCUUUCAGUUGGGAAGAAAAAAAUGACGGUACCAACAGAAGAAGCGACGGCUAAAUACGUG